ensembl:lncRNA
CACAAACACACACUGGGCUGGAAUAGUGUGAGCUGUGAGUUCUGGAUUGAGUCCCAGGUUAGAGGACGUCUCCUUCUGAUCGCCUCAACCAUCUGCUGCUGGCCAGACGGACCACACCACUGGAGGCAGACGGUGCACAUAUGCUGACGCAGAGAGUUUCAGCAGAAAAUUAGGUUUGAAACAAGAGGGAAAUAAAAGCUAGAGAGACAUAGCAAAGGAGAUGGCGAGAUACGUAUGAACCGCUUAACUUCAGGACAAAGAAACAGGCCACUUUGCAAGGAUAUUACUUCACAGCCAUAUUUUCAGGCUCUAUAACGUUCCUGUCUGAAUUCUGGAAGGAGCUGCAACAUCAGACAGUCUUCAGGCUGAGGAAGCAACGGCAUGAGAUGUAUGUCAAGACUGUAGAAGUGCAGGCCACAAUCAAGCCCUUUUUAGGUGUCUCAAUUUUCUCCUCCCAUAUGACCCUACUAAUGAGCUCCCUUCCUCUGGCCUGGGCAGGUAUGUCUGUUGGGGUCUGGCUGUCCUCAAAUAGAGGUGGACCGGGCACUCUGUGGUCAUUUGGUCCUCCCCAAUCUUGAGUCCCAUUCAGUACUCAAAGGGACACACAUGAGGAUUUGAUGGAUUUGGGCUGCAGGCAGACCCUGAUCCACCGAGUCCUGAUUCAAGACAUUGGCAUUGGAUGAUGGCUGGGAGGUGAAGUUGCGAUAUUUAACGGGAUGUGCACACUUAUCCUCUCAUGCCAAUCAAAAUUGAAUACAAGGGCCAAAAAUAAAGAAUGACAGAGAGACACAUCCUUCUGUCCCCCUUGAGCCCCCCUUAGAUUUACCUUUAUGCAUGCCUUCAAUCAAGUCACAAUUAACAGGCUCAUGUUAACGUUCACAUAUUUUUAAAGACAUUCUGACAUUUAAUACACAGUAUUAAGAGUGGUUGUAUCCGGUGAGUCAGGACACCUAAACUGAUGAAAUUCUGACC